CACGUAGGGCGCAAGCGUUGUCCGGAAUUAUUGGGCGUAAAGAGCUCGUAGGCGGUCUGUUGCGUCCGCUGUGAAAACUCGGGGCUUAACUCCGAGCCUGCAGUGGAUACGGGCAGACUAGAGGUAGGUAGGGGAGAAUGGAAUUCCCGGUGUAGCGGUGAAAUGCGCAGAUAUCGGGAGGAACACCGGUGGCGAAGGCGGUUCUCUGGGCCUUACCUGA
rnacentral:rRNA from 1 species